CACGGAUCCUAGUGAGUCCAGAUUUAACUACACUGACAACUCAUUAUUGAAAGCGCUCGUGUGCUCUCAGUGACCAAAGCUGCUCUGGCAGACUUGUCUCUCUGGAUUUAUCAUUAACAUUUACAUUCUCGGGCUGCUAAAUAAUUCAGUAUAGCAUUUAGCCUUAUGUCCUUGCCUCUCUACCCAGAAGCUGCCCUCACUGUUUACUGUAUGUUCCAGCAGCAGGGAAGAAAAACCUGUCCGGACCCUCAGUGCUUCCUCACACUCUGCAACUGAGAGGGAACUUUCACUCUUGACAUAGAAGUUAUUAUUUUUUUGUUGGAAAAGUGCUUAUUAGAUACCUAAAUACAGGCGGUUAUUUAUCCACAUGGAGCCAGGACGAUAUGGUUUCAGCUUCCCAUGCAAAUUCCCCUUUUAAUAAUCCUAAUGCGGGGAGCUCUCCAAUCAGAGCGCUAUCAGCCACGGCGCCCUGAUACCUGAUGCCAGCUUUGCUGGUAAUGUAGGCCACUGAAGCAAAUCCAGGGAGAUUGAGUUGGAAGUGGAGAGAGAAUCAGAGAUCUGUUUGCAUGGCUUCCUGACGGGGGGUGGGGGUCUAAUUUUUUAUUUAUUUAUUUUCUUUCCUCAGUGCUGGAAAGGAGAGAUACAAUUUCCAAGCGAUCAUUAGCUGAGAGCAGCCCAGCUGGGUUGAGGCUGGGAGGCGGGGACGUGGUGGCAAGCAGCGAAGCAAGGUGGAGGCACGAAGGCAGAAGACCAGGUAGAUGAAAGCAUGAGGUGGCUCCUAGGCAGCAACUGGAGGAAAUUCGGACAUGCUGACAGGGGGAUCUACGACUGGCUAAACAAUGAGACAAGUGGGCCACUGCUGGAAACAGAGCUCCAGAGCAGACAACAGAUAAGUUCAACCAAAGAAGACAUAGAGCCAUUUCUGUGCAUCAUAUUGCCUGCCACCAUGAUGCUCUUCCUGGCAUUCCUGCUGCUCUUCCUUUACCGCCGCUGCCAGCGCCCCACCCCACAGGGGCAGAUCUUCAGCAUCGACCUCCCUGAGGCCCUGCCUGAGCACGAGGUGCCCAAUUUCCUUUCCGUGCUGCCCUGGACCAGUGAACAGAGUUUCCACUACUCCACUCUGCUCCCUGAUGCCACAUUCCUCUCUGUAUGUUUGCCUCCAUCCUAUGAGGAGGCCACCAUGAAGACUACCCUGGAUGAUGCUCACAUUGAGCUCUCUCCAGGUCCAGUGCCUCCUUAUGAAGAGAGCAUGGCACAUCCAGCAGCACCAAAUAAACUUCCUACAGAAGCACCUUAGCUGAAGCAUGCGGCCCCUCACGGCACAAACAUGGAUCUGCUAUGGCCUUUAAAAUUAGCAAAAAAUCCAAAUGAGCCAAAGUCAGUGAAUUAUGAAGGAAGAAACUUGAAGUAACAGGGAAUGAGCCUUUUCACCUCAUUCUAGGAUUCUCUAUCUUCCACUUGUAGCAAGGCUACAUGCACAGUGUGACAGCAAAUCAGUUCUAGGCUGUUAAUGUUGGAAUUUGAGAAAACCGAGUACGUCAUACAACGAUUAAACUUACAGACAGAUGAGAAUCUGCCCAUCUGAAAUCUCUCAGCUGCCAAGAAACAUAACAUUGAUGGUUGGACUUCAUGAUCUUGACUGUCUUUCCCAGCCUAGAUGAUUCUAUGAUAAGUUAUGCUACAGAUUCAGCAGUCACAAAAAGGGCUCCUGGCACGAAUCUAUUCCAGUUUGCUUUUUUUCUACUUCAUGUGUUUAUUUUUAAUUGAAUUUCUGACAAGCUGAUUUACUUAAUCAGCAUGUAUAAACAUUGCAUAUCAUUCUGCAGUGCUCUGUAAUGAACACAGCUCUCAGGAAAGCAAAUAAAUCUCUAAAAAAAAUUCCA
ensembl:lncRNA